CUUCAUGGGAAUAGGGUGGACAUAAAGGAACACUCCAACCAAACACCAUAACCAUUACAGUGUGCUAUAGUGGUUAUGAUUCCAGGGAUAUCUUGGCUCUUCAACAAUGUAAGUAGUCAAAACAUUUGCUAAUGGUUUCACAACUUAGCUGGUUUCUGCCUGAAGCUCUCUGCCCUAGUCUAGUGGUAAAGGGCUUAGCUCAUUGGCUGAGAGUAAUAAGCUGACACUCUCAGCAAAUGAUACAGCGCUCUCUUGUACUUGGCACGUCUACUUUCAUUGAGUAGAGAAAGUGUAACUUGCAGGAAAAAGAGAAGAAGGGAAACCCAUUUCCGAGGCUUCAAUACGAGUACCCCUGGGGCAGCACUACAGCUACAGAUCAGCCAUCACCACAAAAAAACCUACUGGGUCAAUUGCUAUCCUUAAAUGCAGC